rnacentral:rRNA from 1 species
GACGAACGCUGGCGGCGUGCUUAACACAUGCAAGUCGAACGGAAAGGCCCUGCUUUUGUUGGGUGCUCGAUUGGCGAACGGGUGAGUAACACGUGAGUAACCUGCCCUUGACUUUGUGAUAACUUCAGGAAACUGGGGCUAAUACCGGAUAGGAGCUCCUGCUGCAUGGUGGGGGUUGGAAAGUUUCGGCGGUUGGGGAUGGACUCGCGGCUUAUCAGCUUGUUGGUGGGGUAGUGGCUUACCAAGGCUUUGACGGGUAGCCGGCCUGGGAGGGUGACCGGCCACAUUGGGACUGAGAUACGGCCCAGACUCCUACGGGAGGCAGCGGUGGGGAAUAUUGCACAAUGGGCGGAAGCCUGAUGCAGCAACGCCGCGUGCGGGAUGACGGCCUUCGGGUUGUAAACCGCUUUCGCCUGUGACGAAGCGUGAGUGACGGUAAUGGGUAAAGAAGCACCGGCUAACUACGUG